GAGACAGAGAGAGAAAUAAAAGAGCCAACAGAGGCAGAGAGAGAGACAGAGAGAGAAAUAAAAGAGCCAACAGAGGUAGAGAGAGAGACAGAGAGAGAAAUAAAAGAGCCAGAGGUAGAGAGAGACAGAGAGAGAAAUAAAAGAGCCAACAGAGGUAGAGAGAGAGACAGAGAGAGAAAUAAAAGAGCCAACAGAGGUAGAGAGAGAGACAGAGAGAGAAAUAAAAGAGCCAGAGGUAGAGAGAGAGACAGAGAGAGAAAUAAAAGAGCCAACAGAGGUAGAGAGAGAGACAGAGAGAGAAAUAAAAGAGCCAACAGAGGCAGAGAGAGAGACAGAGAGAGAAAUAAAAGAGCCAACAGAGGCAGAGAGAGAGAGAGAGAAAUAAAAGAGCCAACAGAGGCAGAGAGAGAGACAGAGAGAGAAAUAAAAGAGCCAACAGAGGUAGAGAGAGAGACAGAGAGAGAAAUAAAAGAGCCAACAGAGGCAGAGAGAGAGACAGAGAGAGAAAUAAAAGAGCCAACAGAGGCAGAGAGAGAGACAGAGAGAGAAAUAAAAGAGCCAACAGAGGCAGAGAGAGAGACAGAGAGAGAAAUAAAAGAGCCAACAGAGGCAGAGAGAGAGACAGAGAGAGAAAUAAAAGAGCCAACAGAGGUAGAGAGAGAGACAGAGAGAGAAAUAAAAGAGCCAACAGAGGCAGAGAGAGAGACAGAGAGAGAAAUAAAAGAGCCAACAGAGGUAGAGAGAGACAGAGAGAGAAAUAAAAGAGCCAACAGAGGUAGAGAGAGAGACAGAGAGAGAA